UCGAGCAAUAAUAUCGUACGAAGAACUGAAUAAUAUGGCAAGGUGUGUUUGGAUUUUAUGUAUUAGAACCAUGGUGGUGCUCAAAAGGAGAAAUAUUUCUGGUGCUUUUGUUACAUAAGCUCCAGCAUACAACCAUACAAAAUGCCUUUCGUGCAGAGUACUAGCAUACGUAUCAAUCAAUCCAAGACGGGGGGCGAAUGGGAUUCUUGCUUAUCCUCGUGAAGUGAAGAGGGUCGACAUUCAUGAGAAAGAGCGGUUGGCCCGCCGCGGCCUCCUCCUCCUUUUUCCUCCUGCUUGUAUAAUACAUAACAAAGACGAGAGAAGGGUAGAAACGAAGGGACUGCAGCAGUGUCAUGGAGGUGAGAACAUGCUAAAAGCCAAGAAGAGAACAAGCGCCAGGAAGAUAAAGGAAGGAAGCAAAGAGGGAAAAGGUUCCCAUCACCAUCACCUCCGCCAAGUGGGUCGUCUGAUCCAUGUGCAGUCAUGUGGUGGUUUGCCCUCCCAUGUCCCCACCGCAUCAUUCCAGCCUCCUCCUCCUCCUCCUCC
rnacentral:lncRNA from 1 species